rnacentral:rRNA from 1 species
UACGUAGGCAGCGAGCGUUGUUCGGAGUUACUGGGCGUAAAGGGUGUGUAGGCGGUUGUUUAAGUUUGGUGUGAAAUCUCCCGGCUCAACUGGGAGGGUGCGCCGAAUACUGAAUGACUAGAGUGUGGGAGAGGUGAGUGGAAUUCCUGGUGUAGCGGUGAAAUGCGUAGAUAUCAGGAGGAACACCAGCGGUGUAGACGGCUUUCUGGACCAUUGCUGACGCUGAGACACGAAAGCGUGGGUAGCAAACAGG